rnacentral:rRNA from 1 species
UGGGGAAUUUUGGACAAUGGGCGCAAGCCUGAUCCAGCAAUGCCGCGUGCAGGAUGAAGGCCUUCGGGUUGUAAACUGCUUUUGUACGGAGCGAAAAGGUCUGCCCUAAUACGGUGGGCUCAUGACGGUACCGUAAGAAUAAGCACCGGCUAACUACGUGCCAGCAGCCGCGGUAAUACGUAGGGUGCGAGCGUUAAUCGGAAUUACUGGGCGUAAGGCGUGCGCAGGCGGUUAUAUAAGACAGAUGUGAAAUCCCCGGGCUCAACCUGGGACCUGCAUUUGUGACUGUAUAGCUAGAGUACGGUAGAGGGGGAUGGAAUUCCACGUGUAGCAGUGAAAUGCGUAGAUAUGCGGAGGAACACCGAUGGCGAAGGCAAUCCCCUGGACCUGUACUGACGCUCAUGCACGAAAGCGUGGGGAGCAAACA